GACGAACGCUGGAGGCGUGCUUAACACAUGCAAGUCGAACGAUGAAAUGGAGCUUGCUCCAUGGAUUAGUGGCGAACGGGUGAGUAACACGUGAAUAACCUGCCCUUAAUUUUGGAAUAACCCAGGGAAACCUGGGCUAAUACCGGAUAAGUAAACCUGUGGCAUCACAUGGUUUUGGAAAGUUUUUCGAUUAAGGAUAGAUUCGCGGCCUAUCAGCUUGUUGGUGAGGUAAUGGCUCACCAAGGCGACGACGGGUAGCCGGCCUGAGAGGGUGAGCGGCCACGCUGGGACUGAGACACGGCCCAGACUCCUACGGGAGGCAGCAGUGGGGAAUAUUGCGCAAUGGACGAAAGUCUGACGCAGCGACGCCUCGUGAGGGACGAAGGUCUUCGGAUUGUAAACCUCUUUCAGCAGGGACGAAGCGAAAGUGACGGUACCUGCAGAAGAAGCGCCGGCUAACUAUGUGCCAGCAGCCGCCGUAA
rnacentral:rRNA from 1 species